UGGACAGGGGGGUUCCCGCUCACGGGCGGGGCCUGUCCGACCGGCCGUGCGGAACGUGCGGCCAGUGGUUGUCGCUCGGGGGUGAACGCCG
rfam:Streptomyces sp. HCCB10043 Contig_1339, whole genome shotgun sequence.